rnacentral:tRNA from 1 species
AAAAUAGAAGUAACCUGUACAAUUGGCUUCGGCCCAAUUUUUGGCUCCAGCCCUGUUUUA